rnacentral:rRNA from 1 species
UGCCAGCAGCCGCGGUAAUACGGAGGGUGCAAGCGUUAAUCGGAAUUACUGGGCGUAAAGCGCAUGCAGGCGGUCCAAUCAGUCAGGUGUGAAAGCCCUCGGCUCAACCGGGGAACUGCACUUGAUACUGUUGGACUCGAGAGUGGAAGGGGUGAGCGGAACUCCAGGUGGAGCGGUGAAAUGCGUAGAUAUCUGGAGGAACACCGGUGGCGAAAGCGGCUCACUGGCCCACUUCUGACGCUGAGGUGCGAAAGCUAGGGUAGCGAACGGGAUUAGAUA